rnacentral:rRNA from 1 species
CCUACGGGAGGCAGCAGUGAGGAAUAUUGGUCAAUGGCCGGAAGGCUGAACCAGCCAAGUAGCGUGCAGGAUGACGGCCCUACGGGUUGUAAACUGCUUUUAUACGGGAAUAACGCGCCUUACGUGUAGGGCUUUGCAUGUACCGUAUGAAUAAGGACCGGCUAAUUCCGUGCCAGCAGCCGCGGUAAUACGGAAGGUCCGGGCGUUAUCCGGAUUUAUUGGGUUUAAAGGGAGCGUAGGCCGCAUGUCAAGCGUGCUGUGAAAUGUCCGGGCUCAACCCGGGCCUUGCAGCGCGAACUGGCGUGCUUGAGUCCGCGGAAAGCAGGCGGAAUUCGUCGUGUAGCGGUGAAAUGCUUAGAUAUGACGAAGAACCCCGAUUGCGAAGGCAGCUUGCUGCAGCGGAACUGACGCUGAUGCUCGAAAGCGCGGGUAUCGAACAGGAUUAGAUACCCCGGUAGUC